rnacentral:rRNA from 1 species
AUUGAACGCUGGCGGCAGGCCUAACACAUGCAAGUCGAGCGCGCGGAGGACGGGUGAGUAAUGUCUGGGAAACUGCCUGAUGGAGGGGGAUAACUACUGGAAACGGUAGCUAAUACCGCAUACCAUCAGAUGUGCCCAGAUGGGAUUAGCUAGUUGGUGGGGUAACGGCUCACCUAGGCGACGAUCCCUAGCGGGUCUGAGAGGAUGACCAGCCACACUGGAACUGAGACACGGUCCAGACUCCUACGGGAGGCAGCAGUGUGGAAUAUUGCACAAUGGGCGCAAGCCUGAUGCAGCCAUGCCGCGUGUGUGAAGAAGGCCUUCGGGUUGUAAAGCACUUUCAGCGGGGAGGCGUUACCCGCAGAAGAAGCAACGGCUAACUCCGUGCCAGCAGCCGCGGUAAUUC